CUAACCUACACUACAACUUUUGGUUAAUGUUCAGAAAGAGUGCGAUUCACUUUUCAGGCAUACAUUUUGUACAUUGUUACACUAUUUGACAUCCUAAAUCCAGAUAGGCUUACCGGUCAUGACUGAGGCCGGCAUCUCACCUGUCCUGGCUACGCCAAAUCACUGUGGAUGCCGGAUGCCGAGGACCGGAGAGCCAACCGCUUUGAGGCGUGAGCUCU